AUUAAACGCUGGCGGCAUGCCUUACACAUGCAAGUCGAACGGCAGCACGGGGGCAACCCUGGUGGCGAGUGGCGGACGGGUGAGUAAAGCAUCGGAACGUAUCCUGGAGUGGGGGAUAACGUAGCGAAAGUUACGCUAAUACCGCAUAUUCUGUGAGCAGGAAAGCAGGGGAUCGCAAGACCUUGCGCUCUGGGAGCGGCCGAUGUCGGAUUAGCUAGUUGGUGGGUAAAGGCCUACCAAGGCGACGAUCCGUAGCGGGUCUGAGAGGAUGAUCCGCCACACUGGGACUGAGACACGGCCCAGACUCCUACGGGAGGCAGCAGUGGGGAAUUCUGGACAAUGGGCGGAAGCCUGAUCCAGCCAUGCCGCGUGAGUGAAGAAGGCC
rnacentral:rRNA from 1 species